rnacentral:rRNA from 1 species
CCUACGGGAGGCAGCAGUGGGGAAUAUUGCUCAAUGGGCGGAACCCUGAUGCAGCGACGCCGCGUGAGUGAAGACGUUUUUCGGUAUGUUAAGCUCUAUCAGCCGGGGAGCAAAUGACGGUACCUGAUUAAGAAGCGCCGGCUAACUAAGUGCCAGCAGCCGCGGUAAUACGUAGGGGGCAAGCGUUAUCCGGAUUUACUGGGUGGAAAGGGAGCGUAGACGGGAGCACAAGUCUGGAGGGAAAUGCCGGGGCUUAACCCCGGAACUGCUGUGGAAACUGUGCAGCUAGAGUGGAGGAGAGGUAAGUGGAAUGCGUAGUGUAGCGGUGAAAUGCGUAGAUAUGAGGAGGAACACCAGUGGCGAAGGCGGCUUACUGGACUGUAACUGACGUUGAGGCACGAAAGCGUGGGGAGCGAACAGGAUUAGAUACCCUGGUAGUC